AUUGAACGCUGGCGGCAUGCCUUACACAUGCAAGUCGAACGGCAGCACGGGAGCAAUCCUGGUGGCGAGUGGCGAACGGGUGAGUAAUAUAUCGGAACGUGCCCAGUCGUGGGGAUAACGUAGCGAAAGCUACGCUAAUACCGCAUACGAUCUAUGGAUGAAAGCGGGGGAUCGCAAGACCUCGCGCGAUUGGAGCGGCCGAUAUCAGAUUAGGUAGUUGGUGAGGUAAAGGCUCACCAAGCCGACGAUCUGUAGCUGGUCUGAGAGGACGACCAGCCACACUGGGACUGAGACACGGCCCAGACUCCUACGGGAGGCAGCAGUGGGGAAUUUUGG
rnacentral:rRNA from 1 species